CUAUAUGAUCACCAAAGUUAAGCAACCUUGGGCCUGGUCAAUAGCUAGAUGGGUGACCAUUUGGGAAUACCAGGUGCUGUAAG
rnacentral:rRNA from 1 species